UAAGCAUUUUGCGCUGUAGUGCCUAGGAAUUGCUAAGCGUGGAAGAACACACGACACUCUCAAUUGAAUUUGCUUUCCACUCAUACUUUGCAGUGCGCACGGCACGUUUAUUGUUAUUAUUUUUGGUAUAAAACGAAGCUGGAAUUGUUGAUGUUGGUCAGAAGCAAAGUGGUCAUCUAAAGAAAAGUUAUUCCCUCUGUGAAAAGUGAAGAAAAAUUCCUAACAAAAUGCCGUGCAAAGGUUGCGAUCCAAACUGCAAAAGCUGCGCUAAGACCUGCUGCCAGGGAUGCAGCUGCGAGCCUAAAUGCCCCUGCAAAUGCGGUGAGAAGGGUUGCUGCAUUAAAGCAUAGAUUGGCACAAUCAUCCUGCAGAUAUUCAGCAUAAAACUCCACAUUCUAUCAAUCUUUUUUUUUUAUUAUAUCAAUGGAUUUUCAGUUAAAUGUACUUUGCCGGAUGUUUAACCUAACUAUUAUGCAUCUAAUUUAUAAUUUAAAUAAAUCAUAAUAAAAAUCUUAGUAUAUACACAGAAUA